UAACCAUUGCCUCCAAUGCUAAGUCCUCGGCCUACUCAGUGCCUCCGUUUAAUAGGUGAGCGCUAAGAUCCAUGGGACCUGCCCUGUGACUCUGUUCUACACAACUGACCCCCAGGACAGAGAUGAAGAGAUGUGGAGAAAGUGGCCUUGAUUCUGAAGGGGAUUUCUCUGAACAUUCCACUACCACCGAGCCUGCUCAGCGCUGUGUCUUACAAGGAAAUGCAGGAACCAAAGAACAGACGUUUUUGCCGAGGUAAAUAAGCCCUCUCAACUGAUGAACGCCAUUAUACUAAUACCAAAGGAAACAAAGGCCAGAAGAUGGCGGCAUUAAGUAGAAAGGCAAACAGAAAAAUAGCAGGCAAAAUCCAGCUUGGGACAAAGCCUGCUCUGCAACAGUGAAAAACAGGACAAAAUCCUUUAAGAGAAAAUUGCAUGCAAUUUUUUGGACUCAAUUAGCCUUUUCCACAAAGAGCACUUUCCCACAAAGAGCCCAUUAAAUAGCAAAUG